ACAAACAAUAUCAAUAAUUAUAUUAAAUCUGAAUUAUCUAAACACCCUAAUCAAAAGGCAGAAAUUGAAAGACUGCAUAAAAAAGCAAAGUCCAAUCCUGUCUACAAGAGACACAACGCUGAUUCAAAAACACAAAUAAAUGGAAAGUACAAUUUUGGGAGAAGAUAGUCUUUGCAAAUAGUAACCCAAAGAGAGCUAGAGAGCUGUAUGGGGUUGAACAGCAUUCCCCCCAAAUUUCAUGUCUACUCAGAAUCUGAAUAUGACCUCAUUUGGGAAUAGAGUCUUUGAAGAUGUAAUCAAGAUAAGACAAGGUCAUACUGAAUUAAGAUGAGCUCUAAUCCAAUGAUUGAUGUACUGAUAAGAAAAUAGAAAUUUGGACACAAACACGCAGAGAGAACGCCAUGUGAUGAUGGAGACAGAGAUCUGAGUGAUGCGUCUACAGGCCAAGGAACAUCAAAUAUUACCGGCAAUUAGCAAAUACCAGGAACAGGCAGGGAAACAUCCUUCCCUUGAGAAUCCUAGAGCCUUGAAAGAAAACAUGACCCUGACAACACCUUGAUUUCAGAGUUCUAGCCUCCAGAACUGUGACAGAAUCAAUUUCUGUUGUUUUAAGCUCCCCAGUUUAGAUAUCAUCAGAGACAAAAUGGGACAUUUCAUAAUGAUAAAAAGGGUCCAUCUGUCAGAAAGAUGUAACACUUAAAAUGUAAAUGCACUUACAAUAGAACUCCAAGAUACAUGAAGCUAGAGAAUUCCCUGGUGGCCCAGUGGUCAGCACUAGGUGCUUCCACUGCUGGGACCCGGGUUCAAUCCCUGGUCAGUGAAAAAAUACAUGAAGCUAAAACUGACAGGUUUAAAAGGAGAAAUAUACAACUCAACAUAUACAGUUGUAGAUUUCAAGACCCCAUUUUAAAUAUUUAAUAGAACAACUAGUCAUAAAAUGAGCAAAACAUGAUCAGUACUAUCAACAAAUGCACCCUAACUAGUAUAUAUAGAAUACACCACCCAAUGACUGGAGAAUACACAUUCUUUUCAAGAACACAUGGAACAUUUACAGGAAAAACGACAUGCUAUGCCAUAAAAGUAUAAAAGUCUCAAUAAAUAAAAAGGAUUGAAAUCAUGCAAAGUACGAUCUCUGAAGGUAUUGUUGUCCCUUACAUCUGUCACCCCAACCCAGAAUUGCAGCUGCGGAGACUGUGGGAAUUUGUGCUCCUCCAGUUAAAAUUCCUCUCUCUGAAUCCAGUACAAUCCAAGCUUCCCCAGGAACAGAAGCUCUGCGAGGGCAGGGACUUUGUCUUGUGUCCUCCAUGCCUCCAGCGAUGUCUAGAACAAGGAUUUGUUAAAUAUCGAAUGAGCAGUUCAUGCCUUGAGAAGAAGGCAUUUCCUGUGUUCCAGAGUCUCUGUUUCAACCACACACCCAUGCUGCUAGAAAUACCAACACAUCAGUCAUCGUAAUCUUAGCAUUAAUAAGUUCAUUCAAAUGGAAAAUACUUUUGUCCUAGUUUUGAGAAAUAUUUGGAUGGACAUAAAGAUGAGAAAGUCAAGGUGCCUUCCUCCGAGGACUUCACAACCUAGUCCGUCGAUUUUGGUGUCCUUCGGCUGCACGAAUGAGCUGGGUGAGAACAGCAGAGUGCGACACUGGCGGAGCAGACUGGGCAAUCCCUUCGCAGUUGGGGCGGGAUUAGAAGCGGAUUCAACAACGGACGCAUAUUUCAGGUAUGGUUCGAGUACUUUUUUUAUACUUUUAACUAUAGGUUCUGACUGUGCUUCCCUUUUACAAUUGUUUUUUAGAUGCAUAUGUUUGUAUGUGUACACAUGAAUGUGCAUAAUAAUUAUUAUUAUGGAUAUUUCGGACAUCAUACAGUACAGAAAUUUUUGAAGCAGAUGUUCACUUUGUAAUAUCAAAGGCACGAAAGAACUUAACACAGAAAAAUAAAACAGAUAAUUUAUGCA